UAUAUUUUAGUGUAAUUUGCACUUAAAAUUUUGAAUUUUAAAGAAUUAUUAAAAUUAAUAAAUAUAA
rnacentral:tRNA from 1 species